rnacentral:rRNA from 1 species
CGCGUAGGCGGUUUUGUUAAGUCGGAUGUGAAAGCCCCGGGCUCAACCUGGGAACUGCACCCGAUACUGGCCGACUAGAGUACGAGAGAGGGAGGUAGAAUUCCACGUGUAGCGGUGAAAUGCGUAGAUAUGUGGAGGAAUACCGGUGGCGAAGGCGGCCUCCUGGCUCGAUACUGACGCUGAGGUGCGAAAGCGUGGGGAGCAAACA